AUUUGGCAAGUCUCCCUCUAAAAACCUUAGUAGUGAUCGAGCAGAGCUGCUGCAGAAGAAAAUCAUCUAAACUAGUGGAUCUGCAUUUGAGAUCACAAGAUAUUUAGUGAAAAAAAAAAUAUAUAUAUAUAUAUAAAAUGAACACAGUAAAGUAAAUGCUAGCAAGGUGCUAACCCAGGCUGGCUAUGUGCUGCAGUGAUUUGCGAAGAAAAGCAGCAGCCAGCUGCAGGAGGUUCUGCAGGGUGGGGUGCAGAAGAAGGCUUCAUACUCAGCAGAUGGCAUGCACAGGUGCUGUGCCAGCCUACUGGGGCACUACCUGGUGUGCCCAAGGGAUCACUUGCUUCGUUUGUUAUCAAGCUGAGAAUGAGAGACAUUUUGUUUUAUGAUCCUUUCUCUCCUCUCUUUAUGUGAUUUUGCUUUUAGCCACCAGACAACAGCAGUGCUCUUCUCUAGAGUGCCAAAGAUUCAGCAAUAACAGGAGUCCAGGAGGAAAAAAAAAAAAAAAAAAAAAAAAAAAAAGAGGAAUCUGUUAUUUUUCUGUAACAACUGGUCAGCUCAAACCUGCAACCUGCCAGCCUCCUGUGAUUGCUAAUAGCUCUGUUUACUUGGAGCCAGACCACAUUGGCGUAUUUGGACCACAGACUGGGCUGGCAUCAUGUAAGUGUGUAAAGAAGCAGUAUUUAUCAUUGUCAUGAUUUUGUUGCUUUCCCUCACACUUGUAAGAAUUGAUAACAAGUGACUCGGAGACAGCACAGCUGGCCUGCGAGAUGUCUCUGCAUGAGCAAAGGAAUGGCUCUGUUCAGAGAACAGGAGCCAGUUAUUCCUCUCAAUCUAUAAACAAGUGCCAUGAUAAUGGAAAAACAGCACUUGCCCUUGCACCUUUUCCCUUUGUGUGGGCUCAGGGCUUUGCCUUUCCAUACGCUCCCUGGGGCAGAUCUGGGGGAAGUGAUCACGACAGUAUGAUUUGAAUGGCAGAGAAGUCCUGUGUCCCAUCCCGUCCCCCCAAAUCUGUACAUCUCGACUGUCCUGAGCGAGGGCAGAGAAGAAGGCUGGACAUUUAUCCUACCAACACAGCAGCCAACAUGUAAGGCUCUACUAUCUGCAGUCAAGUGGUUGCAGAAAAGUCUCACUUUGAAAAUGAGGAAUAAACCAAGUGAUACUUACUAAUAAGGACACUUGAUACAAAAAAUCCUUACAGGUUUCUUGACUGAGUCUGAUGUGAAUUUUACUUAUGCCGUAAUUGACAUCCAUCACCCUCAGGUUGAAUAUGUGGACAAAUAAAUAAACAACCCUCUUCUCCUUCCUUU